ACGGACAAGUAUGGACCAGUAUAAACCAGUACGGACCAGUACGAAUCAGUACAGACCACUAUGGACCCGUAUAAACCAGGACGGACCAGAACAGACCAGUCCAUCCCAGUCCGUCCCAGUUCCCUCCCAGUCCCUCCCAGUUCCUCCCAGUCCCUCCCAGUUCCUCCCAGUCCCUCUCAGUCCCAUCCCAGUCCCUCCCAGUCCCUCCCAUUCCCUCCCAGUCCAUCCCAGUUCCUCCCAGUUCCCACCAGUCCCAUCCCAGUCCAUCCCAGUUCCUUCCAGUCCCUCCCAGUCCCAUCCCAGUCCAUCCCAGUUCCUCCCAGUCCCUCCCAGUCCCAUCCCAGUCCCUCCCAGUCGCUCCCAGUUUCCUCCCAGUCCCUCCCAGUUGCUCCCAGUUCCCAUCUGUCCCAUCCCAGUUCCUCCCAGUCCCUCCCAGUCCCAUCCCAUUCCCUCCCAUUCCCUCCCAGUCCCUCCCAGUCCCCCCCAGUUCCUCCCAGUUGCUCCCAGUUCCCACCUGCUCGUGCACGGCGCUGCCCAUGACGCUGAACACGCCUCCCAGUUCCCUCAUGCUCUUCCCAGUCCCUCCCAGUCCCAUCCCAGUCCCUCCCAGUUCCUCCCAGUCCCUCCCAGUUGCUCCCAGUCCCCACCAGUCCCAUCCCAGUCCAUCCCAGUUCCUCCCAGUCCGUCCCAGUUGCUCCCAGUUGCUCCCAGUUCCCACCUGCUCGUGCACGGCGCUGCCCAUGACGCUGAACACGC
rnacentral:lncRNA from 1 species